GGGCCAUAGCUCAACGGCAGAGCAUCUGCUUUGCAUACAGAAGGUCCCAGGUUCAAUUCCUGGCAUCUCCA